rnacentral:lncRNA from 1 species
UCGCUCCCCAUUUCCCCCCCCCCUCCCGCGCCGACGCCCGUGACGUCAGCCGCCCGGCUCCAUUUGAGCGCCUCUCGGCAGCCGAGAACUCGGACUUCCCGUGUGGCUCACAACAUAACUACUCGGCGUUGCUUCUACAGUGGCUGUGGCUCGACCCCUGGCCUGGGAACUUCCAUAUGCCGCAGCCCCGCGGCGGCAGAUGGCACUCGUUCUGCCGCUUUUUCCUGGCUGUGUGCGAUGCCAUCGCAUAGAUGUCCCCGGGUCUGCGAAGUGCACUCACCUGUCAGUGGACCUUUAGGUGGCUUCCAGAUCUUGGCUCUGGUGAGUAGUGCGGCGACAGACAGAGGGGUGCCCGGGUCUGCUUCCGGGAAAGUUUGGUCCGGUGAAAUGGAGCUGUUUGGAGGCCGGCUUCGGUCUUUGUGUGGGCCGGCCCGUGUAGGGCUGCUUGGCUGAGACUCUGUCGAGGAGGGAGGCCUUCAGCCACCGGGGCCUCACGGGGCCUACCCGUGCGGCACCAUCACAGAGCUCUCCGUCACUGCCCCUUGUGG